GACGAACGCUGGCGGCGUGCUUAACACAUGCAAGUCGAACGGUGAAGCGCCUUCCUUUUUGGUGGGUGUGGAUGAGUGGCGAACGGGUGAGUAACACGUGAGUAACCUGCCCCCUUCUUCUGGAUAACCGCAUGAAAGUGUGGCUAAUACGGGAUAUUCUGGGUCUGUCGCAUGAUGGGUCUGGGAAAGAUAUUGUUUCGGUGGGGGAUGGGCUCGCGGCCUAUCAGCUUGUUGGUGGGGUGAUGGCCUACCAAGGCGGUGACGGGUAGCCGGCCUGAGAGGGUGUACGGUCACACUGGGACUGAGACACGGCCCAGACUCCUACGGGAGGCAGCAGUGGGGAAUAUUGCACAAUGGGCGCAAGCCUGAUGCAGCGACGCCGCGUGAGGGAUGGAGGCCUUCGGGUUGUGAACCUCUUUCGCCAGUGAAGCAGGCCUGCCUCGUUUGUGGGUGGGUUGACGGUAGCUGGAUAAGAAGCGCCGGCUAACUACGUG
rnacentral:rRNA from 1 species